rnacentral:rRNA from 1 species
ACGUACGAUCAUAUCCAUUGGAAUACACGGGAUCCCGUCUGCUCUCCCUUAGUUAAGCCAGUGAGAGCCGGAUCAGUAGUUGAGUCGGUGACGAUCAGCGAAUACCCGGUGUUGUACGUU